CCCGAUUAGCUAGUUGGUGAGGUAACGGCUCACCAAGGCUUCGAUCGGUAACCGGCCUGAGAGGGCGAUCGGUCACACCGGAACUGAGACACGGUCCGGACUCCUACGGGAGGCAGCAGUGGGGAAUCUUGCGCAAUGGGCGAAAGCCUGACGCAGCAACGCCGCGUGGAGGAUGAAGGCCCUUGGGUUGUAAACUCCUGUCGGCUGGGAAGAAGUCGUGCGGUGCUCAUACCACCGUGCGUUGACUGUACCAGCAAAGGAAGCCCCGGCUAACUCUGUGCCAGCAGCCGCGGUAAUACAGAGGGGGCUAGCGUUAUUCGGAAUUAUUGGGCGUAAAGGGCGCGUAGGCGGCCAUGCGUGUCUUCCGUGAAAUCCCUCGGCUUAACUGAGGACGUGCGGAAGAAACUGCAAGGCUUGAGUCCGGGAGAGGGGGGUGGAAUUCCCAGUGUAGCGGUGAAAUGCGUAGAUAUUGGGAGGAACACCGGUGGCGAAGGCGGCCCCCUGGACCGGUACUGACGCUGAGGCGCGAAAGCGUGGGUAGCAAACGGGAUUAGAUACCCCGGUAGUCCACGCCGUAAACGAUGGGCACUCGGUGUCGCGGGUAUCGACCCCUGCGGUGCCGAAGCUAACGCAUUAAGUGCCCCGCCCGGGGAGUACGGUCGCAAGGCUGAAACUUAAAGGAAUUGACGG
rnacentral:rRNA from 1 species